UCGUCGUAUGUUAUAUGUGUCAUACGAGACUGCCGGUAAAAGACCGGAGGAAGGUGAGGAUGAUGUCAAGUCAGCAUGACCUUUAUAUCCAGGGCUACACACACGCUACAAUGGUCUGUACAAUGGGUAGCCAAGCCGCGAGGCGGAGCCAAUCCUGAAAGCAGGCCUCAGUUCAGAUUGCAGUCUGCAACUCGACUGCAUGAAGCCGGAGUUGCUAGUAACCGCAGGUCAGCAAUACUGCGGUGAAUACGUUCCCGGGUCUU
rnacentral:rRNA from 1 species